rnacentral:rRNA from 1 species
CAUAUCAAUAAGCGGAGGAAAAGAAACUAACAAAGGAUUCCCCCUAGUAACUGCGAGUGAAGCGGGAAAAGCUCAAAUUUAAAAUCUGGCAGUCUUUGGCUGUCCGAGUUGUAAUCUAGAGAAGUGUUAUCCGCGCUGGACCGUGUACAAGUCUCCUGGGAUGGAGCGUCGUAGAGGGUGAGAAUCCCGUCUUUGACACGGACUGCCAGGGCUUUGUGAUGCGCUCUCAAAGAGUCGAGUUGUUUGGGAAUGCAGCUCAAAAUGGGUGGUAAAUUCCAUCUAAAGCUAAAUAUUGGCGAGAGACCGAUAGCGAACAAGUACCGUGAGGGAAAGAUGAAAAGAACUUUGGAAAGAGAGUUAAACAGUACGUGAAAUUGCUGAAAGGGAAACGCUUGAAGUCAGUCGCGUUGUCCAGGGAUCAACCUUGCUUUUGCUUGGUGCACUUUCUGGUUGACGGGUCAGCAUCAAUUUUGACUAUUGGAAAAAGAUUAGGGGAAUGUGACAUCUUUGGAUGUGUUAUAGCCCUUGGUUGCAUACAAUGGUUGGGAUUGAGGAACUCAGCACGCCGCAAGGCCGGGUUUUAACCACGUACGUGCUUAGGAUGCUGGCAUAAUGGCUUUAAUCGACCCGUCUUGAAACACGGACCAAGGAGUCUAACAUGCCUGCGAGUGUUUGGGUGGAAAACCCGAGCGCGUAAUGAAAGUGAAAGUUGAGAUCCCUGUCGUGGGGAGCAUCGACGCCCGGACCAGACCUUUUGUGACGGUUCCGCGGUAGAGCAUGUAUGUUGGGACCCGAAAGAUGGUGAACUAUGCCUGAAUAGGGUGAAGCCAGAGGAAACUCUGGUGGAGGCUCGUAGCGAUUCUGACGUGCAAAUCGAUCGUCAAAUUUGGGUAUAGGGGCGAAAGACUAAUCGAACCAUCUAGUAGCUGG